rnacentral:rRNA from 1 species
CUAGAGUCUCGUAGAGGGGGGUAGAAUUCCAGGUGUAGCGGUGAAAUGCGUAGAGAUCUGGAGGAAUACCGGUGGCGAAGGCGGCCCCCUGGACGAAGACUGACGCUCAGGUGCGAAAGCGUGGGGAGCAAACAGGAUUAGAUACCCUGGUAGUCCACGCCGUAAACGAUGUCGAUUUGGAGGCUGUGCCCUUGAGGCGUGGCUUCCGGAGCUAACGCGUUAAAUCGACCGCCUGGGGAGUACGGCCGCAAGGUUAAAACUCAAAUGAUUUGACGGGGGCCCGCACAAGCGGUGGAGCAUGUGGUUUAAUUCGAUGCAACGCGAAGAACCUUACCUACUCUUGACAUCCAGAGAACUUAGCAGAGAUGCU